GCCGAUGUAGCUCAGUUGGCCAGAGCACGUGAUUUGUAAUCUCGGGGUCGUGGGUUCGAAUCCCUCCAUCGGCUCCA
rnacentral:tRNA from 4 species